AGCCAACCUGCUGAAGUCAAAGCCUUUGCCAAGAAUGUCUUCAUUAAUCAAGAACGAAAGUCAGAGGUUCGAAGGCGAUCAGAUACCGCCCUAGUUCUGACCGUAAACGAUGCCAACCAGCGAUCCGCGGUGGUAAGUACGCCCUGGCGGGGAGCUUCCCGGAAACGAAAGUCUUUCGGUUCCGGGGGAAGUAUGGUUGCAAAGCUGAAACUUAAAGGAAUUGACGGAAGGGCACCACCAGGAGUGGAGCCUGCGGCUUAAUUUGACUCAACACGGGAAAACUCACCCGGCCCGGACACCGUGAGGAUUGACAGAUUGAGAGCUCUUUCUUGAUUCGGUGGUUGGUGGUGCAUGGCCGUUCUUAGUUGGUGGAGUGAUUUGUCUGGUUUAUUCCGAUAACGAGCGAGACUCUAGCCUACUAAAUAGUGGUCGGAUAAGGUCGGUCCAGAAGACUUCUUAGAGGGAUAAGCGGUGUUCAGCCGCACGAAGUGGGGCAAUAACAGGUCUGUGAUGCCCUUAGAUGUCCGGG
rnacentral:rRNA from 1 species